rnacentral:rRNA from 1 species
CACCAGCGCCACGAGUGGUCGUCGCGUUUAUUGGGCCUAAAGCGUUCGUAGCCGGCUUGGUAAAUCUCUUGUGAAAUUGUUCGGCUUAACCGAACAGCGUGCAGGGGACACUGCCAGGCUCGAGACCGGGAGGGGUCAGAGGUAUUCCGUGGGGACCGGUAAAAUGGGAUAAUCCACGGAGGACCACCGAUGGCGAAGGCAUCUGACCAGAACGGAUCUGACGGUGAGGAACGAAAGCUAGGGGAGCGAACCGG